rnacentral:rRNA from 1 species
GACGAACGCUGGCGGCGUGCUUAACACAUGCAAGUCGAACGGAAAGGCCCUGCUUUUGUGGGGUGCUCGAGUGACGAACGGGUGAGUAACACGUGAGUAACCUGCCCUUGACUUUGGGAUAACUUCAGGAAACUGGGGCUAAUACCGGAUAGGAGCUCCUGCUGCGUGGUGGGGGUUGGAAAGUUUCGGCGGUUGGGGAUGGACUCGCGGCUUAUCAGCUUGUUGGUGGGGUAGUGGCUUACCAAGGCUUUGACGGGUAGCCGGCCUGAGAGGGUGACCGGCCACAUUGGGACUGAGAUACGGCCCAGACUCCUACGGGAGGCAGCAGUGGGGAAUAUUGCACAAUGGGCGGAAGCCUGAUGCAGCAACGCCGCGUGCGGGAUGACGGCCUUCGGGUUGUAAACCGCUUUCGCCUGUGACGAAGCGUGAGUGACGGUAAUGGGUAAAGAAGCACCGGCUAACUACGUGCCAGCAGCCGCGGUGAUACGUAGGGUGCGAGCGUUGUCCGGAUUUAUUGGGCGUAAAGGGCUCGUAGGUGGUUGAUCGCGUCGGAAGUGUAAUCUUGGGGCUUAACCCUGAGCGUGCUUUCGAUACGGGUUGACUUGAGGAAGGUAGGGGAGAAUGGAAUUCCUGGUGGAGCGGUGGAAUGCGCAGAUAUCAGGAGGAACACCAGUGGCGAAGGCGGUUCUCUGGGCCUUUCCUGACGCUGAGGAGCGAAAGCGUGGGGAGCGAACAGGCUUAGAUACCCUGGUAGUCCACGCUGUAAACGGUGGGUACUAGGUGUGGGGUCCAUUCCACGGGUUCCGUGCCGUAGCUAACGCUUUAAGUACCCCGCCUGGGGAGUACGGCCGCAAGGCUAAAACUCAAAGGAAUUGACGGGGCCCCGCACAAGCGGCGGAGCAUGCGGAUUAAUUCGAUGCAACGCGUAGAACCUUACCUGGGUUUGACAUGGAUCGGGAGCGCUCAGAGAUGGGUGUGCCUCUUUUGGGGUCGGUUCACAGGUGGUGCAUGGCUGUCGUCAGCUCGUGUCGUGAGAUGUUGGGUUAAGUCCCGCAACGAGCGCAACCCUUGUUCACUGUUGCCAGCACGUUAUGGUGGGGACUCAGUGGAGACCGCCGGGGUCAACUCGGAGGAAGGUGGGGAUGACGUCAAGUCAUCAUGCCCCUUAUGUCCAGGGCUUCACGCAUGCUACAAUGGCUGGUACAGAGAGUGGCGAGCCUGUGAGGGUGAGCGAAUCUCGGAAAGCCGGUCUCAGUUCGGAUUGGGGUCUGCAACUCGACCUCAUGAAGUCGGAGUCGCUAGUAAUCGCAGAUCAGCAACGCUGCGGUGAAUACGUUCCCGGG